UACGGAAGGCAGCAGUGGGGAAUAUUGCACAAUGGGCGAAAGCCUGAUGCAGCUAUGCCGCGUGUAUGAAGAAGGCCUUAGGGUUGUAAAGUACUUUCAUCGGGGAGGAAAAAACAAAACUAAUAAUUUUAUUUCUUGACGUUACCCGAAAAAGAAGCACCGGCUAACUCCGUGCCAGCAGCCGCGGUAAUACGGAGGGUGCUAGCGUUAAUCAGAAUUACUGGGCGUAAAGAGCACGUAGGUGGUUUUUUUAAGUCAGAUGUGAAAUCCCUGGGCUUAACCUAGGAACUGCAUUUUGAAACUGAAAUACUAGAGUAUCGUAGAGGGAGGUAGAAUUCUAGGUGUAGCGGUGAAAUGCGUAGAUAUCUGGAGGAAUACCUGUGGCGAAAGCGGCCUCCUAAACGAAUACUGACACUGAGGUGCGAAAGCGUGGGGAGCAAACAGGAUUAGAUACC
rnacentral:rRNA from 1 species